GACGAACGCUGGCGGCGUGCCUAAUACAUGCAAGUUGAGCGCUGAAGGUUGGUACUUGUACCAACUGGAUGAGCAGCGAACGGGUGAGUAACGCGUGGGGAAUCUGCCUUUGAGCGGGGGACAACAUUUGGAAACGAAUGCUAAUACCGCAUAAAAACUUUAAACACAAGUUUUAAGUUUGAAAGAUGCAAUUGCAUCACUCAAAGAUGAUCCCGCGUUGUAUUAGCUAGUUGGUGAGGUAAAGGCUCACCAAGGCGAUGAUACAUAGCCGACCUGAGAGGGUGAUCGGCCACAUUGGGACUGAGACACGGCCCAAACUCCUACGGGAGGCAGCAGUAGGGAAUCUUCGGCAAUGGACGAAAGUCUGACCGAGCAACGCCGCGGGAGUGAAGAAGGGUGUCGGAUCGUAAAACUCUGUUGGUAGAGAAGAACGUUGGUGAGAGUGGAAAGCUCAUCAAGUGACGAUAACUACCCAGAAAGGGACGGCUAACUACGUG
rnacentral:rRNA from 1 species